UACGUAGGGGGCCAGCGUUGCUCGGAAUUACUGGGCGUAAAGGGUUCGUAGGUGGUGUGGCAAGUUGGGAGUGAAAUCUCUGGGCUUAACCCAGAGGCUGCUUUCAAAACUGCCGUGCUCGAGUGCGAGAGAGGUCAGUGGAAUUGCAGGUGUAGCGGUGAAAUGCGUAGAUAUCUGCAGGAACACCCGUGGCGAAGGCGGCUGACUGGAUCGCAACUGACGCUGAGGAGCGAAAGCAUGGGGAGCGAACAGG
rnacentral:rRNA from 1 species